AUUGAACGCUGGCGGCAGGCCUAACACAUGCAAGUCGAGCGGUAGCACAGAGAGCUUGCUCUCGGGUGACGAGCGGCGGACGGGUGAGUAAUGUCUGGGAAACUGCCUGAUGGAGGGGGAUAACUACUGGAAACGGUAGCUAAUACCGCAUAAUGUCGCAAGACCAAAGAGGGGGACCUUCGGGCCUCUUGCCAUCAGAUGUGCCCAGAUGGGAUUAGCUAGUAGGUGGGGUAACGGCUCACCUAGGCGACGAUCCCUAGCUGGUCUGAGAGGAUGACCGGCGAAACUGGAACUGAGACACGGUCCAGACUCCUACGGGAGGCAGGGGUGGGGAAUAUUGCACAAUGGGCGCAAGCCUUAUGCAGCCAUGCCGCGUGUAUGAAGAAGGCCUUCGGGUUGUAAAGUACUUUCAGCGGGGAGGAAGGUGUUGAGGUUAAUAACCUCAGCAAUUGACGUUACCCGCAGAAGAAGCACCGGCUAACUCCGUGCCAGCCGCCGCCGUAACAC
rnacentral:rRNA from 1 species